rnacentral:lncRNA from 1 species
GAAACAGCAUUAAGUAUUAGCUCCAGCCAGCAUACUCUUCUGCUAUAUGACAUCCUUUCCUCCAUCCACCAAGAGGCAAUUUUAAAAGCAUCCUUCCUAUGAGGGAUUUCAUCAGAGAAACCCACGAUUACGGGAUGGUCCACAGUUUCUCUGCAGUAGAGCCUCAGCUCUUCUCAAUACCAGUGAAAUUACCUGGGACUUCCUGACAUGGCAGUUGCAUGAAAAAAUGGCUAAAUAAAGAAAGCUCCUGCUUGUCACCACAAGCUGCUUCCUCUGUCUUCUCUGAUGCAUCUUUUGGCAGCAGCUAUUUCAAGACGUGCCAAAUAAACACCGACUCCACAAAAGAGCUACAGAGAAGCAUUUAAAGGUAGCAUGAAAAUGGCACUGGAAACUGAAAACCAAGAAAUCAGAUGGUGGAGAAUAAUUGAGUGACUAAUGUUCCUCGGUGCUAUUUUGGCAGCAGGCAGUUUGAGGCUCGCAAUCAUCCCUAUAGAAAUGAAGGAGGUAAAUUUAGGGUCAAACAAAGAAGGGUCUUCAGGAUGUCUCAUUUUAAAAUGGUAUUUCAGGCAAGCUGAGUAAAUUGUUCUCACUUGUUCCUAGCAGAAAUGAGCUUUCGCUUGUAUACGAAAUCUGCCAUAAAGGCAUAGAUGCUCCAGUUAUACAUUUAAAAAUGCAACUGCAACUUUAAAGGUGAGAGAACAGAGAUGAAGCGAUGAGCAAGCAGAGAUCAGGCUGCUCUGUUACUAACUCACAAGGAGACCAUUUUUCCCUCUUUACAUACAAUGCAUGUUUAAGGGAGUUAACGUAAGAGGGGAUUUCUCUUUCCUGCAGGAAGAGAAUUGGCCCCACAGGGUCAUUAAAUAGACCAGGGUACAAGUUAUGACUGGUCUGCCACUAUGGUCUUCUUUUAUCUUCCCUGGUAGAUUACUUCAUGUAUAAGCUCUGAGGGCAAUCCUGCUCCUUUAUUUCUGCCUUGAGAGACUCCUCAGGCAUCCACACUUCUACCUGGCCCAGUCUUCACCAGAAGCGGUCCCAACUACUUCCAUUCCCAUGAAGUCCUUUCCUUAGGUAGGAAUUUGCCUGCUCUUUGUCUGAAGCUCAGGCAGGAUUAAUAGCUAGUUGUCAGACAUAGCCAUAUGGUAUGGAGCUCAAAAUGCUCUAACUGCCUGGGUAUUUAUUUACCUGGGGCUCUGAGCUCUGCAUUGCUAUAGUUAUGUCACUGUCAGUUCUCAAAAUAGCUAGUUUAAUGCUAGGUCAAGUACAUCUAACCAGGUAGCAGUCCUACAUUUGUUGGUUGA